rnacentral:rRNA from 1 species
AAGUCGAGCGGACAGAUGGGAGCUUGCUCCCUGAUGUUAGCGGCGGACGGGUGAGUAACACGUGGGUAACCUGCCUGUAAGACUGGGAUAACUCCGGGAAACCGGGGCUAAUACCGGAUGCUUGUUUGAACCGCAUGGUUCAAACAUAAAAGGUGGCUUCGGCUACCACUUACAGAUGGACCCGCGGCGCAUUAGCUAGUUGGUGAGGUAAUGGCUCACCAAGGCAACGAUGCGUAGCCGACCUGAGAGGGUGAUCGGCCACACUGGGACUGAGACACGGCCCAGACUCCUACGGGAGGCAGCAGUAGGGAAUCUUCCGCAAUGGACGAAAGUCUGACGGAGCAACGCCGCGUGAGUGAUGAAGGUUUUCGGAUCGUAAAGCUCUGUUGUUAGGGAAGAACAAGUACCGUUCGAAUAGGGCGGUACCUUGACGGUACCUAACCAGAAAGCCACGGCUAACUACGUGCCAGCAGCCGCGGUAAUACGUAGGUGGCAAGCGUUGUCCGGAAUUAUUGGGCGUAAAGGGCUCGCAGGCGGUUUCUUAAGUCUGAUGUGAAAGCCCCCGGCUCAACCGGGGAGGGUCAUUGGAAACUGGGGAACUUGAGUGCAGAAGAGGAGAGUGGAAUUCCACGUGUAGCGGUGAAAUGCGUAGAGAUGUGGAGGAACACCAGUGGCGAAGGCGACUCUCUGGUCUGUAACUGACGCUGAGGAGCGAAAGCGUGGGGAGCGAACAGGA